GAUGAACGCUGGCGGCGUGCCGAACACAUGCAAGUCGAACGAGCGAGAGAGAGCUUGCUUUCUCGAGCGAGUGGCGAACGGGUGAGUAACGCGUGAGGAACCUGCCUCAAAGAGGGGGACAACAGUUGGAAACGACUGCUAAUACCGAAUAAGCCCACGGGUCGGCAUCGACCAGAGGGAAAAGGAGCAAUCCGCUUUGAGAUGGCCUCGCGUCCGAUUAGCUAGUUGGGGAGGUAAAGGCCCACCAAGGCCACGGUCGGUAGCCGGACUGCGAGGUUGAACGGCCACACUGGGACUGAGACACGGACCAGACGCCUCCGGGAGGCAGCAGUGGGGAAUAUUGGACAAUGGGCGAAAGCCUGAUCCAGCCAUGCCGCGUGUGUGAAGAAGGCCUUCGGGUUGUAAAGCACUUUAAGCGGGGAGGAAGUACUUGGGGCUAAUACCCCUGAGUGUUGACGUUACCCGCAGAAUAAGCACCGGCUA
rnacentral:rRNA from 1 species